AUUGAACGCUGGCGGCAGGCCUAACACAUGCAAGUCGAACGAGUGGCGGACGGGUGAGUAAUGUCUGGGAAACUGCCUGAUGGCGGGGGAUAAAUACUGGAAACGGUAGCUAAUACCGCAUACCAUCAGAUGUGCCCAGAGUGGAUUAGGUUGGUGGUGGGGUAACGGGGCACCAAGGCGACGAUCCCGAGCUGGGCUGAGAGGAUGACCGGCUACCUGGGAACUGAGACACGGGCCAGACGCCUACGGGAGUCAGCAGUGGGGAAUAUUGCAAAAUGGGCCCAAGCCUGAUGCAGCCAUGCCGCGGGGAUGAAGAAGGCCUUCGGGUUGUAAAGUACUUUCAGCGGGGAGGCGGUACCCGCAGAAGAAGCACCGGCUAACUCCGUGCCAGCAGCCGCGGUAAUUC
rnacentral:rRNA from 1 species